GCGCCCGUAGCUCAGCGGAUAGAGCGCAGGGUUUCUAACCCUAAGGUCGUAGGUUCGAGUCCUACCGGGCGCA
rnacentral:tRNA from 1 species